UACGUAGGGGCAGAGCGUUGUCCGGAUUUACUGGGCGUAAAGCGCGUGUAGGCGGCCCGUUAAGUGGGGUGUGAAAGGCCCGGGGCUCAACCCCGGGACGCCGCUUCAAACUGGCGGGCUUGAGGACGGAAGAGGGGAGUGGAAUUCCUGGUGUAGCGGUGAAAUGCGUAGAGAUCGAGGAGGAACACCCGUGGCGAAGGCGGACUCCCGUGGUC
rnacentral:rRNA from 1 species